GGAAACAAUUAGUGGCAGACGGGUGAGUAAUGCAUAGGAAUUUGCCUAGUAGUAUGGGAUAGCCACUAGAAAUGGUGGGUAAUACUGUAUACGCCCUGCGGGGGAAAGAUUUAUCGCUACUAGAUGAGCCUAUGUUAGAUUAGCUAGUUGGUAGGGUAAAGGCCUACCAAGGCAGUGAUCUAUAGCUGGUUUGAGAGGAUGAUCAGCCACACUGGAACUGAGAUACGGUCCAGACUCCUACGGGAGGCAGCAGUGGGGAAUAUUGGACAAUGGGCGCAAGCCUGAUCCAGCUAUGCCGCGUGAGUGAGGAAGGCCUUAGGGUUGUAAAACUCUUUCAGUGGGGAAGAUAAUGACGGUACCCACAGAAGAAGUCCCGGCAAACUCCGUGCCAGCAGCCGCGGUAAUACGG
rnacentral:rRNA from 1 species